rnacentral:rRNA from 1 species
UACGUAGGGGGCAAGCGUUGUCCGGAUUUACUGGGCGUAAAGAGCGUGUAGGCGGCCACGCAGGUCCGUUGUGAAAACUGGAGGCUCAACCUUCAGACGUCGACGGAAACCGUAUGGCUAGAGUCCGGAAGAGGAGAGUGGAAUUCCUGGUGUAGCGGUGAAAUGCGCAGAUAUCAGGAAGAACACCAAUGGCGAAGGCAGCUCUCUGGGACGGUACUGACGCUGAGGCACGAAAGCGUGGGGAGCAAACAGG